UAGCGGCGGACGGGUGAGUAAUGCGUAGGAAGCUGCCCGAUAGAGGGGGAUACCAGUUGGAAACGACUGUUAAUACCGCAUAAUGUCUACGGACCAAAGUAUGGGACCUUCGGGCCAUAUGCUAUCGGAUGCGCCUACGUGGGAUUAGCUAGUUGGUGUGGUAAUGGCGCACCAAGGCGACGAUCCCUAGCUGGUUUGAGAGGAUGAUCAGCCACACUGGGACUGAGACACGGCCCAGACUCCUACGGGAGGCAGCAGUGGGGAAUAUUGGACAAUGGGCGCAAGCCUGAUCCAGCCAUGCCGCGUGUGUGAAGAAGGCCUUCGGGUUGUAAAGCACUUUCAGCGAGGAGGAAGGGUGUUGUGUUAAUAGCACAGCAUUUUGACGUUACUCGCAGAAGAAGCACCGGCUAACUCCGUGCCAGCAGCCACGGUAAUACGGAGGGUGCAAGCGUUAAUCGGAAUUACUGGGCGUAAAGCGCACGCAGGCGGCUUUUUAAGUCGGAUGUGAAAGCCCCGGGCUCAACCUGGGAAUUGCAUUCGAUACUGGAAAGCUAGAGUAUGUGAGAGGGGGGGUAGAAUUCCAAGUGUAGCGGUGAAAUGCGUAGAGAUUUGGAGGAAUACCAGUGGCGAAAGGCGGCCCCCUGGCACACUACUGACGCUCAG
rnacentral:rRNA from 1 species